rnacentral:misc_RNA from 1 species
GCCAUUUUUGCAUUCAACCAGCCUCCGUACUUCUUCUCAAGCGCAAGAGGGAGAUCGUAGUGGUAAAGAUUGACAUAAGGAGUGAUACCUUUCUGCAGAAGGUAGUUUAUAAGAUUGUUGUAAUAUGCUACGCCUUCUUGGUUAACUCGUCCCUCACCAUCUGGGAAGAUCCUGGACCAUGAGAUUGAAAACCGGUAGGCAUCAAAAUUCAAACUUUUCAUGAGAUUAACAUCUUCCUUAUAG